rnacentral:rRNA from 1 species
GACGAACGCUGGCGGCGUGCUUAACACAUGCAAGUCGAACGGAAAGGCCCUGCUUUUGUGGGGUGCUCGAGUGGCGAACGGGUGAGUAACACGUGAGUAACCUGCCCUUGACUUUGGGAUAACUUCAGGAAACUGGGGCUAAUACCGGAUAGGAGCUCCUGCUGCAUGGUGGGGGUUGGAAAGUGUCGGCGGUUGGGGAUGGACUCGCGGCUUAUCAGCUUGUUGGUGGGGUAGUGGCUUACCAAGGCUUUGACGGGUAGCCGGCCUGAGAGGGUGACCGGCCACAUUGGGACUGAGAUACGGCCCAGACUACUACGGGAGGCAGCAGUAGGGAAGAUUGAACAAUGGGCGGAAGACUGAUGCAGAAACGCCGCGUGCGGGAUGACGGCCUUCGGGUUGUAAACCGCUUUCGCCUGUGACGAAGCGUGAGUGACGGUAAUGGGUAAAGAAGCACCGGCUAACUACGUG